UCUGCAACACGGAAGCGAGCAAAACUACAGAGAAUCAAAAACAAGCCACAAGGACACUUAUCCUGGUUUUAUAUUGUUUAUUUUAUAUAUAUACUUUUACUUUUGAGUGGAGAACAGUCGCUCCAGUAAAUUUUCCGUAAUGGUAUGACUUCUGAUAAAAGCCGGUGCCUACGUGGUGCGGAAGAUCCGUUCCGCUGUCGGAGGGGAUGAGCAAAAAGACCAGCCCGUCCUCACACCAUGUAGCCUGGCACAAGCUAAUAAGCGCCAGAGUCAGAAGAGGUUAACGGCAGAGGAGAUGCCAGAAGAUGGCGUGGUGUGUGCGCUUCCGACUGACUCAAAAACAGUGCAAAAACAUGGUUCUUGAGGUUAAAGGACACGCAGGUGCAUAACUGGGUGCUAGAUUGUAGAAGCCAGUUGGCACAUAUUCUACUUACAGUCAAAUGUUUUUGGAAAGCCUGGAGGUUUUUCUUUGUAAUUGGGGAUUAUUAAUAUACUGGCUGCUCACAGACCCUAAUUGAAGUCUAAAAUUGGUCUCUAGAUAAAUGACUUAAACAAGAUCUGAAGAUUUCUCAAUUACAUCUAGAUUAUUUUCAAGAAAAUGCAAAAUUUUAAAUUUCACUUAUUAACUACGCAUUAAAAUACAAACAAGAUAAAAUACAACCAUAUAAAUUGUGCUACACCUUUUAUAGGGUGCUCAAAAAUGUUUAGCAGUAAAGAGUGCCAGCCCAGUUUGCUCUGCGUAACUGAAGGUUGUUGGUCAGUCUCUCUCUCUCUCUCUCUCUCUCUCUCUCUUUCUCUCCCUUUUUCCGUCUCUGUCUCAGCUGUAGUUUGUGAAGGUCUGUUCAUCAACCUCUGACUCAGGGAAUGUUCAGAUCUGAAAAUUUCCUACAGCUGUAACAUAUUUAUAUUUAAGGGAUCUUUUAAAUAAACAUUCCCUUUUGAAUGGUUUGACAUCACUACAUUUUACAAAAAGUCUGUUAAAAAAUAUGGCUUAGAUGUAUGUAAAAUCACAUUUUUCAUUUGAAUGUGUAAUAAAUAAAAUUACUACAGUAAUUA